rnacentral:rRNA from 1 species
UACAGAGGUCUCAAGCGUUGUUCGGAUUCAUUGGGCGUAAAGGGUGCGUAGGUGGCGCUGUAAGUCGGGUGUGAAAUUUCGGAGCUUAACUCCGAAACUGCAUUCGAUACUGCGGUGCUUGAGGACUGGAGAGGAGACUGGAAUUCAUGGUAUAGCAGUGAAAUGCGUAGAGAUCAUGAGGAAGACCAGUGGCGAAGGCGGGUCUCUGGACAGUUCCUGACGCUGAGGCACGAAGGUCAGGGGAGCAAACGGG